CAUGCAAGUCGAACGAACCUUCGGGUUAGUGGCGGACGGGUGAGUAACGCGUGAGAAUCUGCCCUCAGGAGGGGGACAACAGCUGGAAACGGCUGCUAAUACCCCAUAUGCCGCGAGGUGAAAUGAAUUUCGCCUGAGGAUGAGCUCGCGUCUGAUUAGCUAGUUGGUGAGGUAAUGGCUCACCAAGGCAUCGAUCAGUAGCUGGUCUGAGAGGAUGAUCAGCCACACUGGGACUGAGACACGGCCCAGACUCCUACGGGAGGCAGCAGUGGGGAAUUUUCCGCAAUGGGCGAAAGCCUGACGGAGCAACGCCGCGUGAGGGAUGAAGGCCUCUGGGCUGUAAACCUCUUUUAUCAAGGAAGAAGAUC
rnacentral:rRNA from 1 species